ACCCACCGCAAUUCAAGGUCAAGCACCUGUGAUUUCACCGUCAGCUCCGCAGAAGCACUCCCGUGGUCAACACCUGCAAGGUACACAACACAGGCGCAAAAUGCAGAUUUUUGCUCUACAAGCCAUGAGUUAUUCUCGUUGUACUUAGCUGUAGCAUACAUAGGAGUUUCAAGGAGAAAAUUAGUAUGCAGAAAACAAAAAUGAAAAUACAAAUGCACUGAAGUCACCUGCAAUCUACCUUUGGACAAGAACCACCCUGAGCAGUUACAGAGAGAUCGGACAAAAGGAACACAGCGGAGGUCACAUUUUCUGGAUUUCAGGAAAGCAUCCGAUACUGUAUCUCACAAAACCCUAAUUGAAAAAUUAAUCCAAAAAGACUUGGAAAAGACCAGUGCACAGUACCAGAAUCAAGAAUUGGCUACAGGUUUUGCCUUUCUUCUGUGCCCGCUGCUCUUGGACCAUCUGUAACGGAUCUCCAACAAGCCUCCCUGGCAGGAAGGGCCCAGCUGCCUCGGACGGGAACGCCUGCCUCGCUCCUCAAACAGGCUUCCAGCACUGCUUUGCACGCUCCAGUAGCGACGAUAGGAGAAACCUGAAGUUUACCAUUUUAAGAAAUCAAGACAGGUAUGCAGAGCUGAAAUAGCAAUCAUCAUUUACAUGUGAGACGGCCCUACAGCAGCUCCAUUUCACACUGGGCUUCACAUGUCUCAGCAACGACUGCCCAAGUAAGAACUUCAAUAUAAAAACUCCCACUCAGCACACGCGAUUUCCAGUCCAUCACUGGAAUCACUCCUUCCUUCAUACCCAAAGGUAGCAGGAAAUUCAGCGCAACUAAAUUCUUAACUUCAAUAUGGAUUCACGAUUUUACUUUCAAGUCAAAUAUUUCAAAGAUCAUUAAUCCACUUCCAUUUGCUUAAAUGAAACAGGUUUUUAAGACCCUGACCAGCUUGCAUUUCCACAGCACCCCUUCAUGCACAGCCACAUACAAUUUUCAUUCAAUUCAAAAGCAAUUUUAUGUUUUUGUUAGAAUGGUUCCUCUUUAUUGCAUUCCUUUAAGGCCACCCUCCUCAGCCUGAAAACUGUUAAUUUCAUGGAAAUUCAUAGAACAAGCAACUACUUUGUUACUAUCUUUGCACAGAGAAGAUGACCGUCUGAUCCACCCCAAAGAACACUAAACAUCCUCUGCUGCCAGACAUCCGGGCGUCAGCACACUAGAUGUGUACCUACGGGGAGAACCUGCCGUCCUCAGCAGCCCAGGCUCGUUCCCAGAAUUAGUGUGGGACUAAAGCUGUGGAGUAAGCGGCUUUCCAUAUUGCAGGAAAUCAGACAAAGGAUGCUAUUAAUGGCACUCGGUUCUGGAGGGGGGAACCCCUGAACGUAAAGUUUCCAGUGACUGCACAGGGAGGAAGUGGAGCAAAUAGCAGGAAUGAGCUGCUCACAGUAAAGGAUUUUGUGAAAGGGAAUUUGACAGCUUGAUAAUAUCAUGAGCACCCUAGGAACCUGGAGAAUGAGACAGGAGACACCGUGGGGAAACUGAAGUUAAAAACUGCACGCUGCAUGGUUCAUUCUCCUGGUAAUUCCUCUUAUUCACUGCUAUAAUCAACUUGACAUGCAAAGCUGUUCCAAAUUUACUGACAGCUUUUCAGCUGGCAUCUAGUUCUCAGGGCUUUUUUUUUUUUUAA